AACGAACGCUGGCGGCAGGCCUAACACAUGCAAGUCGAGCGGACCCUUCGGGGUUAGCGGCGGACGGGUGAGUAACGCGUGGGAACGUGCCCUUUGCUUCGGAAUAGCCCUGGGAAACUGGGAGUAAUACCGGAUACGCCCUUUUGGGGAAAGAUUUAUCGGCGAAGGAUCGGCCCGCGUUGGAUUAGGUAGUUGGUGGGGUAAUGGCCUACCAAGCCGACGAUCCAUAGCUGGUUUGAGAGGAUGAUCAGCCACACUGGGACUGAGACACGGCCCAGACUCCUACGGGAGGCAGCAGUGGGGAAUCUUAGACAAUGGGGGAAACCCUGAUCUAGCCAUGCCGCGUGAGCGAUGAAGGCCUUAGGGUUGUAAAGCUCUUUCACCGGGGAAGUUAAUGACGGUACCCGGAGAAGAAGCCCCGGCUAACUCCGUG
rnacentral:rRNA from 1 species